GCGAUCAGACCCGACCAGUUGAGGUUAUGUGAAUUUAGACCAUUUUUAAACUGCUUGUUAUUUAAGAUAGGUAAGUCAGAUCUUGAAAAUUCUUACUCCACCCAAAAGGUCUUCUCAUAUGCAUUCUAAAAAUAUAUAACAUGUGAGGGUUUCAUGAAAAAACCACUCUUUUUACCAUAAUUUUAAUUUAAUAUGAAACAGUUUUUUUAACAUAACUUUUUAAAUACAUGAUAAAACUGCAUGAAUUUAAAUAGCAACUUAGGGGACGUUAAGACGGAUCGAUAAAAUCCAUUCCGGCCAAAAUCGGUUGAGCCUGUGACGAGAUAUUCCAGUGACAUUGAUUUGGUAUACAUGUCUGCAUGCAGCCAAACACACAGACAUUUGCUCAGCUGGUGAUUCUGAGUCGAUAUGUACAAAUGAAGGUAGGUCUAGGAGGUCUAAUUAAAAAGUUCAUUUUCCGAGUGAUUUUAAAGCCUUUCCUCAGUAAGGUGAGGAAGGCAAAACCUUUCCUCUAUUUUUUUACCAUUGUCAAUUGUUCUGUCUAACGACUAAAAUUUUUCGUCCAACGUUUAACGUGAACAUCUAACGUAUAAUGUCUAACGUCUAACGUCCAUCGCUAACGUCUUAGUCUAGCAUCCAAAGGCUAGAAGUUAAAAUAUUAAAUAAAUUUAUUGGAACAUCUGUUCGUUUUUGUCUGCUUAUUUUCAACAAGAGACAAUAUUCUUCCUUUGAUCAAAGAUAAUUCCUAUCUCGCUGCCGUAACGGCAAACAGCUAAUCAACAUCGAAGAUCAAAACACAUUGCGAAUUUCGUGUAUUGAUUAUUUACUGCGCCUCAACCCACCCACUCCAUUGCCCGAUAACCAUCACCAUCAUCGCAUUCACUUUCAUCGCCUGCUGAUAUCGAACUGUCUUAUUGCCAUCGGCCACGACGGCUUGUCACCCGACAGCCAAACAACAAAGCGAUGACAAGAGAUCAAAACCUUAUUUGUACUCAUCGCCGAACUGCCGCUUCGCUUCUGACCUAUUGCCUACGGUUGAACCACGAUGGUUUGAUAUCUUUCUUUCAGGGGUUGACAAAUUCUAACAAAAGUGGGACAAUCAUUUUUUGAAUCAAAAAUGGUACUGCUCUUUGACAGACUCACUUUAGCCAUUUUGUAUUGUUUUGCUUGACUUUCACUUCAAACAAAAUAUAAACAAUAGCCGCCAUUGUUUAAUUUGAAGGUUACUACAUUGAACCUCCGGUGGUCACUUGCUCAAAUUAUUUUUUACGUUAGGCUCUUAUGAAUUGUUACUGCUUAAUUUAAAAGUAAAGGUAAGUUUGACAUCAAUCACUGUCCAACUGUCAAAGUUUUACUGUACCAAGAUUGUCUACACUAAGUCUGUGCCUUCUCUCUCUCUCUCGCUGUCUUGUCAAUUUUGCGCGCCAAAACGCAAAUAUUUGGCCAAGUUGUGUCGAAAAAACAAUCUGUAAUGCACACAGACUACCGAGCUGGAGCUGUCUUUUGGACCUUCUUUUGCCCGUGAGGCCUUUGGCUUCUGUCUUCCGACCUGACGGUGGUGUUGGCUCCGGUGCGGUGGAGUCACUUUUCAUCUUUCAUUUGUUCUCUCUGUCGUCGUCGUCGUUUCUGGUUAUUUGGUGGCGAAAGGUUUGCUAAAUGUUGGACGACUUUAACAAAUUUUCAAAAAAACUCAUGAUCAUGGUUCAUGUUUGGAAUUGUCUAAGUGUCACUUUUCCACACAAGUGCUGAAAAGUACAGUGUUGGCAGUUUCGUAAUUUGAGAACGUCAGGAAAACCUCGGCACUGUCAAAACGAUGUCCUCCAUAAUCCACACAAAACGCAGAGCGGCCAAACCAACUUUAGGUCACAUACACACACACUUGAGAGAUAUUCAGCCAGCAGUCCAGUGACUUUUUGCAGCUUCCGUCGCUUCUCCGGAUGCGUAUUCGUGUACGAGAGCUAAGUCAAGCAAAACGACCAUUAGCAGGUCCCUGAAAUAUUCACACGUUCCAGGCACCACCCCGCACAUUCCAAGUAGCUUGGAGGUGGCAUAAAAUAUUCACUACCCCCAAGUCAUUACGCGUGGCGUCCUUGACAAGAAAACGCGGGCCAGAAUUAACCUUCCAGUCGGUGGACCAGGUCAGUUAAGCUGGGCUUUACGAUGCAAUGUGAAACUGGCAACACUUGCGUGACACGUGGAAGGGAAAAUUAAUGAAAUUCCCUUCGCUCCCUUGAGCUGAGCUGAGCUGCUGUAGCAGCAGUACAAAUUGAUUAAUUAAUAUCGAUAAAAUUGUGUUUUAUUUAUUGUUUUCUCUCUCUCUUUUUUUGUUCCUCUUGCGUGCAAGUACAAACGCUUUUCCGAAUUGAUUCCCUAAUGAGUAUUGACGGUUGGAAAAAUGUGUUUAAUUUAUCGCCAUACCUGCACGAAAUCGCAAUUGUGUCGCAUUUGCAUGAGAAAGUUGUUUAUUGUAGUUUUAUUGGGCCAGGAGCUUUUAAUUGAGUGCUCUAAAAGUGUCAUGAUUUUCUCACUUCAAUAAAAGGAGAUACAACUAGUUUCUUAAUCACUAGUUUUGAUUGUUUUGUAACAGUGUGUAACAAAAUCUUCUGAUGUCAAAAUUGCGCCUCGGAAAUUCCUUCUGGAGGUUGUUGGGGGGACUAUUCUGAGUCAGAAAAAUCGAUUCCCAAAAUAUUCUGUCGGUGAAAACUGAUUUUAUCUCGAUUUGAAGUUUAAAAAUAUUAGGUUUUUAAACUUCAAAUCGAGAUAAAAUCACCUUAAACCUCAAAAA